rnacentral:sRNA from 1 species
AAUACAUUUUUAAUUCUCUUUGAGUGCUGUCAACCAUGAUAGAGAAAAUGGUGCAGAUUGGAUCUCCUUUAGUAUUUCUGCUAAGAUUCCAUCGCACAACAGGUCUAAUAUUUUGAAUCUGUGUGUCGAGAAAGCCAAGCUACUCAGACUAGUCACUCAGACUAGCUUUCUACAAUGGCAAACUGUUUACAAAGAUUUCUUUGAGAGGUAAAUUCCAAGAGCAGACGAUGUAGUCAAGAGCAGACGAUGUAUUCAAGGUCAACGAAUAUGUAGUAAAGAAACCAGACUAUUUUGCUUUUCCACUGGCAGUGUCUGGGUUUCCUAAUGAUUAACUGGACUCUGAGACUUUUUUAAAUUGUUAUUUAUUAAAAAAUACAAUGUUAAUCAGAA